CAAUGCCGCGUGUGUGAAGAAGGCCUUCGGGUUGUAAAGCACUUUUAUCGGGAACGAAAAGCCAUCGGUCAAUACCCGGUGGUGCUGACGGUACCCGAGGAAUAAGCACCGGCUAACUUCGUGCCAGCAGCCGCGGUAAUACGAAGGGCGCAAGCGUUAAUCGGAAUUACUGGGCGUAAAGCGUGCGUAGACGGCUGUUUAAGUCUGCUGUGAAAGCCCUGGGCUCAACCUGGGAACUGCAGUGGAUACUGGAUAGCUAGAGUGCGGUAGAGGAUGGUGGAAUUCCCGGUGUAGCGGUGAAAUGCGUAGAGAUCGGGAGGAACAUCAGUGGCGAAGGCGGCCAUCUGGACCAGCACUGACGUUGAGGCACGAAAGCGUGGGGAGCAAACAGGAUUAGAUACCCUGGUAGUCCACGCCCUAAACGAUGCGAACUGGACGUUGGGCACAACUCGGUGCUCAGUGUCGAAGCUAACGCGUUAAGUUGACCGCCUGGGGAGU
rnacentral:rRNA from 1 species